UACACGUCCAGUUGUUCACCUCUUUCCAAGAUGAUGACAUUCCAGGAAACUUUCACUACUGAGGAACUGAGAUCUAGAGUGUCUCCUUGAGGAAGUACAACCGCAUUAUAAAUUAAGGAGGAAAAGUAACAAAGAGCUCGAAGACAUGCACAGCUCCCAGGCCCUGGGUGGAGGCUGGCAGCAUCGGACAGACAGAAUCAAGACAUCUGAGGGGCAACCAGGAAGUGCGUGUGGCUGCAGAGCACACAGACUUGACUUUGGACAAAAUUGAGAAGAACUCAUAAACUUGGCUUCCUCACUUCUGCUCCUCAGAUGCAGGUGGAUGAUUUGAAGAUAUUAGCCUAGCAAGAUGGAAGCAGGUUUAAAAUUUUACAUAAGAAGUGACCUUUUUCAG